rnacentral:misc_RNA from 1 species
UCCGGUUUAUCACCGGCAGUCCCUGCAGCGUUCUCGUAUAUGUCAAGCCUUGGUAAGGUUCUUCGCGUUGCAUCGAAUUAAUCCGCAUGCUCCGCCGCUUGUGCGGGUCCCCGUCAAUUCCUUUGAGUUUUAGCCUUGCGGCCGUACUCCCCAGGCGGGGAACUUAAUGCGUUAGCUGCGUCACGGAAUCCGUGGAAUGGACCCCACAACUAGUUCCCAACGUUUACGGGGUGGACUAC